rnacentral:rRNA from 1 species
UACGUAGGGGGCCAGCGUUGCCCGAAUUUACUGGGCGUAAAGCGCACGUAGGCGGCUUCGUAAGUCUGGAGUGAAAUCUUACGGCUCAACCGGGAGGCUGCACCAGAUACUGCGGAGCUCGAGGACGGGAGAGGAGAUCGGAAUUCCCGGUGUAGCGGUGAAAUGCAUUGAUAUCGGGAGGAACACCAGUGGCGAAGGCGGAUCUCUGGCCCGUUGCUGACGAUGAGGUGCGAAAGCUGGGGGAGCGGAAGGG